CAAGCUCUCUGGGGACUCCGACACAGUUGUCAUGGCAGGGUGAUUGGCCUUCCCAAAGAAGAAGCUGGCCCACCACUGGCCGGGGUCAGAUUUGGGCAGACCCGGGUGGUGGGGGAUGACCUCCCCAGCAUACUCAGAGCUACUGCAGGAGCUGUUGCUGGAUGUGGAGCUCAGACGCCUUCGGUGAUAGUUGUGCGUGGCCAUAAGCGAGCCGCUCGAUGGGAUGGAGGCCAUGGCUCCGGGUCCUGGGUUUGUGCUGAUGGAAAACCUGGCCGGCACUAG
rnacentral:misc_RNA from 1 species